rnacentral:tRNA from 1 species
GGAUUGUGGCUCAGUGGUAGAGUGCUCACCUAGUGCGUGCGAGGCCCGGGGUUCGAUCCUCUGCACCA